rnacentral:rRNA from 1 species
AGCAUAUUACUAAGCGGAGGAAAAGAAACUAACGAGGAUUCCCUGAGUAACGGCGAGCGAAAAGGGAGAAGCCCAGCACCGAAUCCGGCGUCCCUCGAAAGGGGACGCCGAGACAUGUGGUGUGCGGGAGAGUCUUGCGGGGCGACCGGCGAGUCCAAGUCCUCUUGAAAGUGGCCAAAGCCCAGAGAGGGUGCCAGGCCCGUAGAAGACCGCUCGGUUCGCCUCGACAACGGCUACUCCUCAGAGUCGGGUUGCUUGAAAAUGCAGCCUCAAGAGGGUGGUAAACUCCAUCUAAGGCUAAAUACGACCACGAGACCGAUAGA